rnacentral:lncRNA from 1 species
UUUUUUUUUUUUUUGCCUUUCCCUAAGGCUUUUAUAUUGACAGUUAAUUAAAUCUGGAUUUCCACUAGGUCAAUCUGUUUCAGGAAACAGAAAAGUCAAAAAGAGCAAAGAACUUAAAGUCUCCCUUGAUAAGUCCUAAUUAGCUGGCCAAUCACAAAUCAUCCUAGUGUUUAAGCUAAUAACUAAGCCAAGGUAUGAUUUCAUGCAAAGUUUUAACAGGACAUAUUCAAAAUAAGACAGAGAAGAGGAUAUCCAUAAAGAUGAAUUGAGGAAAGGUCAGCUUGAUUCAAAGGUGCAUCCAUUUGAGCACUCCACUACCACUAAAGCUCAGUUACACAUACACAUGCACACACACUAGCAUGUGCACACACAAAAACAUGUGCACACAUGCAUACACAUGCCCAAACACCUGGAAGCACAGACACAUACUUGCAAAGGCACAUACACAGGUAUAAUACUGAUAUCUAACUGCACAUGCCCAUAUAAACACACAUGACAUGCACACACAUGCACAUGGAUGCACACUUCCAUCUUACCUCCCAAACAAAAUUCUAAGUUUCAUAAGGCUAGUACGUGGUCCUCUACUUGUGAAUUUCCCCAACACUUGGCACUGGGCUAAGCCCACAUUAAGUACUCAACAAAUACAAGUUAACUCAAAAUGUUUACAUAAUUUUCUACAUUGGUAUGUCUAAAUUUACUAACCAUUUGACCUUCUUUAUACAACUUAAUAUCUUGUUUUUCCCAAACGAAAACUGAAUGACCCCUACUUUUCUCAUAGAGUUACAGCAGUGGUCAAAGCUGAUGAUCCUUGAGCUCAUGCACUUUUCUAAAGGGAAAUGCAAGCUUGACAAAUGUUCACAACCUCAUAAAAUGCUAUAUAUAAUAAGACUGGAGACAAAAAGAAUGUUCAUCAAGAGAGGUGGAACAAUCUCUGAAGCAGGAAGUGUAGAUUUUCUUUUCUGAAAAGAGUAGGUUCACUUUGUUUCCUUUUUGGCUUUUAUGUGUUUAAAGAUAAUGCUGAUUUGACUUUACUAUUCCAUGUUACAGUAUCAUACUAAUUGCUCUUAAGGAAAGAAUAAAUAGAAAGUGGCACAGUUAUUGCAGACAUUUCAAACCUAUGAAUGGAUUUCCAUGUUAAUAGAAAGCAAAAACAAUCCUCAAAUUGAGGCUUAAAGACACAUGAGACAUGACAUUAAGCCUGAUCCACUAGUACAUCUAAGCACUUCAAGGCUACUUGAUAUAUUUGAAGCAGAAUGUUUUAUCAUAAAGCUGUAUUUUUCAUACUCUUAUACAUUAUGGCCCUGUAGUAGGAAGAAUAAUGCUCCCCACCAAAAUGUCUAUACUCUAAUAAUCAGACCUUGAAUACAUGAGGCUAAAUUCAGGACCCAAAAAAGUAACAAACAAAACAUGCAUCUUUAUCCAACAAGCACAUUAUAGGACUGUCUUCUCUCUCCUAAGGUUCUCUUAAUAUUCCCUCUGAGAACAUGUGGCUCCCAAUUUUUUUUUGUAGUCUUCAACACUGAGAU